rnacentral:rRNA from 1 species
UACGGAGGGGGCUAGCGUUGUUCGGAAUUACUGGGCGUAAAGCGCACGUAGGCGGCUUUGUAAGUUAGAGGUGAAAGCCCGGGGCUCAACUCCGGAAUUGCCUUUAAGACUGCAUCGCUAGAACGUCGGAGAGGUGAGUGGAAUUCCGAGUGUAGAGGUGAAAUUCGUAGAUAUUCGGAAGAACACCAGUGGCGAAGGCGACUCACUGGACGACUGUUGACGCUGAGGUGCGAAAGCGUGGGGAGCAAUCAGG